rnacentral:rRNA from 1 species
UACGGGGGGGGCAAGCGUUGUUCGGAAUUACUGGGCGUAAAGGGCUUGUAGGUGGCCAACUAAGUCAGACGUGAAAUCCCUCGGCUUAACCGGGGAACUGCGUCUGAUACUGGAUGGCUUGAGUGUGGGAGAGGGAUGCGGAAUUCCAGGUGUAGCGGUGAAAUGCGUAGAUAUCUGGAGGAACACCGGUGGCGAAGGCGGUUCUCUGGGCCAGUACUGACGCUGAGGAGCGAAAGCGCGGGGAGCGAACAGG